rnacentral:rRNA from 1 species
CCUACGGGUGGCUGCAGUGGGGAAUAUUGGACAAUGGGGGCAACCCUGAUCCAGCCAUGCCGCGUGUGUGAAGAAGGCCCUCGGGUUGUAAAGCACUUUCAGUGAGGAAGAACGCCUGGUGGUUAAUACCCAUCAGGAAAGACAUCACUCACAGAAGAAGCACCGGCUCAACUCCGUGCCAGCAGCCGCGGUAAUACGGAGGGUGCGAGCGUUAAUCGGAAUUACUGGGCGUAAAGCGCGCGUAGGUGGCUUGAUAAGCCGGUUGUGAAAGCCCCGGGCUCAACCUGGGAACGGCAUCCGGAACUGUCAAGCUAGAGUGCAGGAGAGGAAGGUAGAAUUCCCGGUGUAGCGGUGAAAUGCGUAGAGAUCGGGAGGAAUACCAGUGGCGAAGGCGGCCUUCUGGACUGACACUGACACUGAGGUGCGAAAGCGUGGGUAGCAAACAGGAUUAGAUACCCCGGUAGUC